AUUCCCGUCAGUGAGGAUGUGGAUGUGAAACGGCGUCAAACAGAAGUUAUCCUGCUGGGACCGAAAAAGAAAGUCAGAGGAUGGAGGUCUUGGAUCUGUGGGCUCCUCAGUCUGAACCACAGCUGGAAAACAUGGCUGCAGAGUCCAGAGAACAAAUCAAAUCCACCUGUCAGAGCAGAGCCAGAGACGCCUGCUGUCUGUGACUGUAAAGGAUCCUGAUCCUGAUCCACCUGCUCCUCCAGGAUCCCAGAGGACCACGUCAUCAAUGAGACGUCAGAGUUAAAGGAUCAUUGUCCUAAAGCUCAGCAGCAGAUCAUCUGUUGGACUCUGUGAUUAAAUGUGUUGACCAGCAGGAGGCGCUCUACAUGACAGAAAACUGAAAAGUGCUGACCACAGCCUUCAGCAGGAGACUGUACAGAGAACAAAGUGUGAGCGUUUGUUUUCCCCUCUGAGGACACUGACAUGAUCCCAUGUUCACCCUGAAGCUCUGCUUCUGUAAAUGACUUAAAGAGUCAGGACCAGCUUCAGACUCUGUGUCUCUGUUGGAAUCAGCAGCUGCUGUAGAACUGAACUCAAACCCAUUGAAGCUGAAACCCAGAGCACAGGUGACUGAAUGAGUCCACCAGAGGGCAGCACCUCUUCUUCUUCUGUCAUGUACAGUGUUUAACUUUAACAUUUAACUGUGUGUUGGACUCACACAACAUGUUUGUGCUUGUCAUUGUUCCCAGACAGAUGGUGAGAGAUACAGCAGGUGUGAUCAAUCUGCAGUAACAGACCUGACAAUGAAAACUGAUAAUGAUCUUUAUGCCAGUGAGCCGACAUCAGGUCAUCUAAAUAUCACCUCCUCAUGUAGUUCAGAUGAGGACACAGAAAACACUGGGUGUUUGUCUGACUGGGUUUAUCACCAGCAUGUCCAACAGUGACUGAACAAACAGGUUAUUUCAUUUGCUGCCAUCAUAUAUUGUCCUGCUUCUCAGCUGACAUGUCUCUUAAUUAUCAGAAAACUCUGGCGUGUAAUCAACAGAAACUUGUUUGUGGGAUCAAUAGCAUAACUGAAAAAAUAACAAAGGUGUGUUCUCACGCAACUCACAAUGAUCUUUCACUUUGUCUUUCUAUUUGUGAUCAUCUGAGUUUAAUCUUUGUUUCCCUGUGUCACGCACAUGUGUAUUUAUCAUGUUUUAUGUGUAUUUUUUAUGUGUAUUUACUACAAAGCAAAACACUUUAAAUUAACACCAGCACCAAUUGCUAACACAUCUUUAACCACUGCCACAGAGUAGUUCUCUCAUAAAGAUUUCUCUGUGUUUUUUACCUCAACCUCCACCAUUAAACUUAACUGCCAUUUCUUAAUUACAUGAGGCUGACAGGCUGACAUCUCCACAGUGGAAAUGUUUGAAGCAAUGAAGUCUAGACACUGAAAGCUCCAGGUCUAAAUGGUCUGCCAGGAGGUUUCUACAAGGCGUUUUGGUCAGUGAUUGGUGAGGACCUGCUGGGUGUUCUCAGGGACAGUCUGGUGAAGGGCCAGUUGUCACUGAGUUGCAGGAGGGCGGUCUUCACACUAAAAAAGAAGACAGGAGAAGAACAGGAUGCCUGUGGCCCUCCUGUGUACUGAGUCAACAGGUUGAGAAGAGUGACAGAGCAGGUCAUUCAUGUGGACCAGACAUACUGUGUCUCCGGUUCAGUUCACUGAACUGUCCAUUUCCAUAGACCAAGGGAAGGCAUUUCAUAGGCUGGACACACAUAUCUGUGUGACGUUGGAUAGUUGUGGGUUCAGCUCUGAUCUUAUUGCUAAGAUCCAGACCUUGUAUGGACACAUUGAGAGUGUAAUUAAAAGUGGUUUGAGUGCUUGUUUCAAAG